rnacentral:lncRNA from 1 species
UCCAUUCUAAUCACUCACCUAAAGUGAAAAUGGCCUCAAAGAGACACGAUUGUGGGCUCAGUAGUAUGUAUCUUCAUAUGGCUAGUAUAUAGUUUUGCACACAUCGAUGUGAGGUCCCCGUCAAUCCAAAUUUUCAGUCUAUCCCGAACUUAAUUCGUCACAAACACAUGACACAGCAUAUGGGUGGCAUCAUGAGGCCUGCAUGUGUUUGCCGUUGAAAUCAUGGAAAAGGGGGUCAGCAUUUAUCAGAAAUAACUGCAAAAAACUGUAUAGAGUAAUAAGCCCCCAUGGCCAUGAGGCCCGUGACUUGGACAAAGAUAGAGGUGGAGGUUUCUACGAGAGAAGAAGAAUCCUCAGAUUUGGCAUCGUAUCAGUAUCAG